GCGAGAGGUUCACCUAACAACAAUUCAACCCAAUUCAACGAAUAAUAAUAAGCAAUAUCAGAAAUACGCAGCAGGAAAAAGAUAGUAAGAUAACUAGCAUUAUGCUAGCUCACCACCAAACUCAGUUUCGAAAUAAAUUAGGGUUUAACAACCCAAAACACGAUAUAAUAUAUAUAACUAACUCGGGCCCCGGUGACGUUAGGUUUUUCC
rnacentral:lncRNA from 1 species